rnacentral:sRNA from 1 species
GGGAGAAAAUCCUUUUGCUUUUUCCUUUAAAAAGCAAAAGAUUGGAACGUCCCGAGACUUC